UACAGGUGGCACGAGUGGUGCCCGCGAAUAUUGAGCUUAAAGCGCCCGUAGCCGGCUUCGCAAGUUUCCCGUCAAAUCUCUCUGCUUAACGGAGAGGCGUGCGGGAAAUACUACGAGGCUCGAGAGUGGGGGAAGCCAAGAGUACGUUAGGGGGAGCGGUAAAAUGCUUUAAUCCUUAACGGACUACCAGUGGCGAAAGCGCUUGGCUAAAACACGUCUGACGGUGAGGGACGAAGGCUAGGGGAGCAAACGG
rnacentral:rRNA from 1 species